GACGGAAGGGGCAAGCGUUGCUCGGAAUCGCUGGGCGUAAAGCGUGCGCAGGCGGUUCGUUGUGUCGGUGGUGAAAGCCCCGGGCUUAACCUGGGGAUGGCCAUGGAAACUGGCGAACUGGAGUGUGGCAGAGGGGGGUGGAAUUCCGCGUGUAGCAGUGAAAUGCGUAGAGAUGCGGAGGAACACCGAUGGCGAAGGCAGCCCCCUGGGCUAACACUGACGCUCAGGCACGAAAGCGUGGGGAGCAAACAGG
rnacentral:rRNA from 1 species